GCGCGAAAACUUUACAAUGCGAGAAAUCGUGAUAAGGGAACCCCGAGUGCCCGUAAAUUCGGGCUGUCCAUCAGUGUAAAUAACUGGUGAAGAAAGGGCCGGGCAAGACCGGUGCCAGCCGCCGCGGUAAUACCGGCGGCUCGAGUGGUGGCCGCUAUUACUGGGCUUAAAGCGUCCGUAGCUGGGUUGUUAAGUCUCCUGGGAAAUCUACCGGCUCAACCGAUGGGCGUUCAGGAGAUACUGGCAACCUAGGGACCGGGAGAGGUGAGGGGUACUCCAGGGGUAGGAGUGAAAUCCUGUAAUCCUUGGGGGACCACCUGUGGCGAAGGCGUCUCACCAGAACCGGCUCCGACAGUGAGGCGAAAGCUGGGGGAGCAAACCGGAUUAGAGACCCUGGUAG
rnacentral:rRNA from 1 species